AGUAACCGGAGGAAAGGACAUCAACCGAGACUCCGUUAGUAGUGGCGAGCGAACGCGGACUAGGCCAGUGGCUANUUGCGUAAGAACCGGAANCGUCUGGAAAGNCGNGCCANAGNGGGUGAUAGCCCCGUACGGGUAGAAAGCNNUNNNGUCCUUGAGUAGGGCGGGACACGUGAAAUCCUGUCUGAACGUGGGGGGACCACCCUCCAAGCCUAAGUACUCCUUAGUGACCGAUAGUGAACUAGUACCGUGAGGGAAAGGUGAAAAGUACCCCGACGAGGGGAGUGAAAGAGACCUGAAACCGAUUGCUUACAAGCAGUAGGAGCAUCNUUANGNUGUGACUGCGUACCUNUUGCAUAAUGGGUCAGCGAGUUAAUUUUGCGAGCAAGCUUAAGCCGNUAGGUGUAGGCGUAGCGAAAGCGAGUCUUAAUAGGGCGNUANAGUUCGUAGGAUUAGACCCGAAACCUGGUGAUCUAGCCAUGGGCAGGUUGAAGGUGCGGUAACACGCACUGGAGGACCGAACCCACCUAUGUUGAAAAAUGGGGGGAUGACCUGUGGCUAGGGGUGAAAGGCCAAUCAAACCAGGAGAUAGCUGGUUCUCCGCGAAAUCUAUUUAGGUAGAGCGUUGCAUGUUUACCAUCGGGGGUAGAGCACUGGAUGGGCUAGGGGGUCCCACAGACUUACCAAACCUAACCAAACUCCGAAUACCGAUGAGUAUAGUGCAGCAGACAGACUCAGGGUGCUAAGGUCCUGGGUCGAAAGGGAAACAGCCCAGACCGCCAGCUAAGGUCCCUAAGUUAUGGCUAAGUGGGAAAGGAUGUGGGAAGUCCAAGACAACCAGGAGGUUGGCUUAGAAGCAGCCAUCCUUUAAAGAAAGCGUAACAGCUCACUGGUCUAGUUAAGACGUCCUGCGCCGAAGAUGUACCGGGGCUAAAGCCAUACACCGAAGCUGCGGACACGUGCUUGCACGUGUGGUAGCGGAGCGUUCCGUAGGCCUGUGAAGGUGGCUCGUGAGAGCUGCUGGAGGUAUCGGAAGUGAGAAUGCUGACAUGAGUAGCGACAAAGCGGGUGAGAAACCCGCUCGCCGAAAGUCCAAGGGUUCCUGCGCAAGGCUAAUCCGCGCAGGGUGAGUCGGCCCCUAAGCCGAGGGCGAAAGCCGUAGGCGAUGGGAAUCCGGUUAAUAUUCCGGAACCUGAGGGUAGUGACGAAUGCUGUAAGUUGUCUGUUCUUAUUGGAUUGAGNAGGCAGCGAAGGUGUUCCAGGAAAUAACUCCCUCGUAUAGACCGUACCCCAAACCAACACAGGUGGACUGGUAGAGCAUACCAAGGCGCUUGAGAGAACUAUGCUGAAGGAACUCGGCAAAAUUCACCCGUAACUUCGGGAUAAGGGUGACCUGCGUUUGGGCAACCAGACGGAGGUGGCACAAAAUUGGGGGUGGCGACUGUUUACUAAAAACAUAGGGCUCUGCGAAGUCGCAAGACGACGUAUAGGGUCUGACGCCUGCCCGGUGCCGGAAGGUUAAGAGGAGAGGUGAGAGCUUUGAAUCGAAGCCCCGGUAAACGGCGGCCGUAACGAUAACGGUCCUAAGGUAGCGAAAUUCCUUGUCGGGUAAGUUCCGACCUGCACGAAUGGCGUAACGACUUCCCCGCUGUCUCCAGCAUCGACUCAGUGAAAUUGAACUCCCCGUGAAGAUGCGGGGUUCCUGCGGUCAGACGGAAAGACCCCGUGCACCUUUACUAUAGCUUUGCAGUGGCAUUAGUGUCGGCAUGUGUAGGAUAGGUGGUAGACUUUGAAACUCAGGCGCCAGUCUGAGUGGAGUCACCCUUGAAAUACCACCCUUAUCGUCAUUGAUGUCUAACCGCGGACCGUUAUCCGGUUCCGGGACCCUGCAUGGUGGGUAGUUUGACUGGGGCGGUCGCCUCCCAAAGAGUAACGGAGGCGCGCGAAGGUAGGCUCAGGCCGGUCGGAAAUCGGUCGUUGAGUGCAAUGGCA
rnacentral:rRNA from 1 species